AUUUAAACAGAUAUAUUCGAGGAAUAUUAACGAUCUAUAAAGUGUGUGGGUGCAUAAGUGUUAUAGAUUUGUGGACAACAUGGUGGAACACACAGCGUUAUUCUCUGUCGUCAAGGUCUUCCUUAUCGUCCAUGCGUAUUCCUUGGUGACGUCAGCAAAGUCAUCCGUAUGUCAUCUACCUAUGGACCCCGGGGAUUGUGAUGGCAUAUGCCCCCGCUGGUUCUUCAACACACACUCUGGCAGGUGUGAGGAGUUUUCUUACGGGUGUUGUGGCGGGAAUGACAACAAGUUCCGCACAGAGCAAGAUUGUCUGAAUGCCUGCAACAACGGGAGGUCUGUAACAGUUGCGUAGCCAUUUUCACGUCAGACGGUGUUGACGUCACAUCUCGAUGUCAUCACUCUUUUGGAUAUUAAUUGAAACCGAACAAAGUGAAACAAACA
rnacentral:misc_RNA from 1 species